GGUCAAUUUUCGUAGGUUUCCCUCAGAACUGCAAGACGCCGAUAUUGCGUUACAUUGUAGCAAAAUGGCGGCUGUCAUUCAGAAUCCACUAAAAGCGUUGGGCGACCAGUUCUAUAAAGAGGCCAUUGAGCAGUGCCGCAGCUACAAUGCCCGCCUGUGCGCUGAACGCAGCGUCCGCCUGCCAUUCCUGGACUCUCAAACCGGGGUGGCCCAGAACAACUGCUACAUCUGGAUGGAACGUCACCAUCGCAGCCCCGGUGUUGCAGCCGGACAGAUGUACACGUACCCCGCCCGCUGCUGGCGAAAAAAAAGACGGCUGCACAACUCCACAGAUCCCCGCCUGGGCAUUUACGGCCUCCAGCUCGACGGCGGUCUCAUGUCAAAGGACACUUUGCCGACUCAGAGCACUACACUGGAAGCUCUGCUUCGUGGAGAGGGCCUAGACAAGAGGAACGCCUCCAAGAACGAUGAGGAGAGCCUGCUGGAGAUCCAGAGGGUUCUGGAGGCAGAUGCAGCAGAAGAUGCUUUCAAUGAUGACGACGACUACGAGGUGGACACUCCGAAGCGGAGACAUCGGGGAAAAGGAAGAGGUCGGGGUUCAGGUCGCAGGAGGACAGAUCUAGAUGAUGAUAAGCCAUAUGUCUGUGAUAACAGAUACAAACAAAGGCAGAACUCCAAAUCUUCAACCUCAGUCUGUGCAAAGCGCUACAGGAACCGCACAGGACUAAGUUACCACUACACCCAUUCCCACCUGGCAGAGGAGGACAGAGCCGGGGAAAGGAGCACAGUUGCUUCCCAACCCCCCACUGCACCACAGACUGACAGACACAAACGUCCAAAGGGUCCAGGUGGGACCAGCAUUCCCAACAGUUACUGUAAUAAAUGCCAGGGCUCAAACAAGAAAACGGGUAAAUCUGGGUCUCCCUGCUCAGCCUGCCAGUGCACAACUGACUGUGGAGAAGAGAAGGAAGACGGGACUUUUACUGGAGCUGAGGAGCUCUUCGGCACCACCUCAGAGAGCGACACUUCCACUUUUCAUGGCUUUGAGGACGACGAGCUGGAAGAGCCGGCUGCAAACGGCAAUGGGAUACCCGGCCGUCACAGAUAAAGAAAACCUUUUAGAUUUAAAGAGACAUUUUUUUAAUAUGGAUUAACCUCUGGCAAAAAUCUGCUGCUUCUUUUUCAUGUUUUUUUGUUUGCGGAAAGCACAAAGUGAUGAUUUCAGGACAGAAAUGCAAGCAAGUGGUAUUUUAUCUACUGAACAUUGUUAGUUAAUUUAUGAACACCUUUUUUUUUAUAUAUAUAAAUACAUAUAUAAACAAACUAUGUUAUACAUAUAGAUAUAUAUCUAUAUAUCUAUAUGUAUAUGUGUAUAUAUAUAUAUAUGUAUAACAUUAAAGGUUACAAAGGACUGUCAGUGUUUCCUGACAAGUGACUCCGUGCAAAACGGAAGAUGUUUUUGGAGUGUGGCUUUUUUGUUUUUCGUUUUUUCUUCCCUCACUGGAGCAGAAGGAGCAUAAAGGUUAUGAACAAAAACACUGGAGAAAUUGGAAAAUUGCAGACAAGACUUUUUGUUUUUUAAGUGAGUGAUAAGUUUGGUAGAUGAUUGAAUGUCAUUGCAGACCCAUACUUGCAUUGCAGAACUACUGGAUAUUUUUGAAUCGGUAGUCGGUGUGACUAUGAAGACCUCUUCUUCUGCUCUAACUCUGAAUUAAACGUAUGAAAAUGAAGGAACCAAUGAAAGGAGUGCCACAGGCCACUGGAAAUGUUUGGAUGAAGAAACCUUUAUAGUCUUUACACAAGGGGGAGAAAUCAAAUCAAAGGAGCACUCAGCACAUUGACAUGUGGCCCAGGGCUGGGGGGUGACCAGUGAAGAAGAGGAUUUUAACCCUCAAAAACUAAUGAGCCUUCAUGUCCCUCCUGAUUUGGGCCUGAAAUAACUGACUGAAACGGAUGAAUAGGCAUCCAUCACUUCUCCCGGCCAUGUGGCUUAAUUGAAGCAACUGCUCCCUUGACAGUAUAUAUCGACCCCUUGUGAACAUUUGAAAUGUGAGUAUCCGGCUUCAUUUUAUCCUUUCUGCACUGUGCUGGAGCUCCUCUCAGAACUAUGGGAACACUAAAGGCCAGGCCUUUGGACUGUUUGUGCCCAACGGGUGCAUUUGGGGCCCCUGCGGCCCAGCCUGCCCACUCCUGCUCUGCAACUGUGUGUCUGCUGUGUGAUCCGAUGUGACACUAAGACGUCAUUAUCCUCAUCACUGUGCCAGCCUGCCGCUCUGCACUGGAAAUCAGCUCUGACAGCCAUGACCCUCCAACCUGAUUGGACCAGUGACCCUCUGACCUGCAGCCAUAGAGAUGGUGCUCAAACUCACCACUAUUACAUGCAGACCUCUGGACUACUGUAAUAAUACCCCGAUGUGGACACAGGUUUUCUGCUUCUGGCCCUCAGCCUGUUUUUGCUCCCUUUUUCCUCUGCCUCUCUGAUCUCAAAUGGAUGAUUUAGCUCACUUUUUUGUUGCAUAUUUUCUCUGUUGUAUAAUAUUUCUACGUUUUAAAGUUUGAUGGUAUGACUUCUUGCAUUUGUUCAGACUGUAUUGAUACCUCUGUCCUGAUCAGGUGCAUAAUAGCCACAACUACUCAGGCAUCUUUUCACUUCAUCUGCUGUUGAUUGUUCAGCCACUCAGCCCUGAUUUUAUGUGAUUGUUCUCAGUUGGCAGAGUAACACGCGUGGAUCCCGGCUCCCAGUAGGGACUGGGAAUACUGCAGUCUCAUGCUAUAGGAAAACAUUGCAAUAAUAAGCUUCAGCUCUGUCUCUUCUAUGCUCGUUCUACCUGCUGUCACGCAUGGCAUGCAAAAACUCUACAGUCUACAGAGGAGAUCGUGACACAGUGAGAUUCAUCUCGGAUUUGCAUUUGGAAUUAUCGUUACUAGAGUGACAUUACUCCGCUGGGAUACAGCUAUUUACUAAGAAGUGACAAGUGUAAAUCCAAGUUACUUGUGACAUUUCCAUUGAGUGCUUUAGAGGGCCUAAUUGCUUUAUGACAUUUAGAAGGAGCUUGAAGUACUGUAUCCAAAAGCUUUUUUAGGUCCGCUGGUUGCACAUGCUGUCUGAGAGGUCUGUUUUCUUCCAUGUGAUUAUUCAGUAUCGCUGCAAUGUAAUAACAGCUGCUCCGUUUUUGAAGCUAACCAUUAAUCUUAGAUGUGUCUGUUAUGACUUGCGUAAGUGCUUGUACAUUCAAACCAUCUUUCUUCACUUCCCUCAGGGACCCUCCACACACAGCAGUUUAUCUCCACUGGACAAGGAAUGCAUCUGAGACAUGUCGGUUGUCUUGUUUUCCUCAGUUACGUGUUGUUUCCACAGUUAAAAAAAGAAAAAGAAACUGAAAAAAGUGGGUCAUCGUGUCAUUUAUCUUCCUAAGUCAGUCAUGCCAGUAAGUUGAAGCAUGUGUCAUCACUCAUAAUCUGCUAAGUGUUACCUACCGUAUACAUGAAUGGGCCAAGUGCGGUGCAGUUCUGAACAAAAGGCGAAGCUCCCGAGUGCAAAAGUAAGCGAUGUCUGCGUAAUUUAACGUGUCACCAAUCAUUGAAUAGCCUGUAUACCUCGUCAAAGACACAGCAAUAGGCCCUGGUACUCUCUUGUCAAGCCUGCAAAGGAGGGUGGAGAGGGAGGAUCGGGGUGAGAACAGAGCCAAGAGGAGAUGAAAUGGACAUGACCGUUUUUGGGUUUUUGUUUGUUUAUUUUUCAUUUGUUUGGUUGUUUGUUUGUUUUUCAUCUUCUGCUGUAAAUAGUCAAAAAAGAGAGAAUGAAGUCUUUGUUAAACUAUUUUUAUUGUUCUGAAAAAAAUAAACAAAAAAAGGAA